UGGGUUGGCGGGCUCNGUGCUACGGCAUCGAACCGUCCGCGCGCGCUCCACGUCAGUGAUGCAUCAAGACAUUCUUGUGCUUCGAACGGAUUCCUGUAUUAAAUACCUAUUGUAAAGGUAUGGUGCCUCUCGUUGACCCCUUCCUUCCCUGGCUCAUGCAGUCAGGGGAAGGACAUCGUAGUAGUGCCUGUUCACCCCGCAUGGUGCGUGCCUUACGGGGCGCGCCUUGCGACGGUUUGCAGGUCGCUGCUUGUUGCCUCGGAUACGGAACAUUCGGUGGGCUUGGGGUGUUUGCACCCUCGACGUCCGAUUCCAAGCGUUUUGUCGCUAAGACAUGUACGACUGUCAUGCCCGUUGCGGGGUCUCUCGCGCGGUGCUUGGCGUCGGCAAAGGAAUGCUACCUGGUU
rnacentral:misc_RNA from 1 species